rnacentral:lncRNA from 1 species
AUUCUGAGAUGUGUCAUCUCGGUGCUGAGGAAUGUGCAUUGGAGGCAGUGCUGGAGGUGACACUGUUGCUCAAGUAUGGCUGGUUAUGGUUAUGAAGCAGGCUGCGCCUGCUUCAUCCAUGGACAGAUGCUCACUCUGCCUGCCCCAACUCUUCUUGCUGCCACAGUUCUCCCUUUGGCUCUGCCAGCAGAAGAUGUCACUGUUCUCAAACCUGCACCCUUCCGAAAACAAGAGAUGUGAGGAGCAGGCUUGGAGCUUUAGACAGGAACUGAAUGAUCUGAACCAAAAAUCACUCUCUUGGCAACUGUUGUACAAGUAUAGCCAAUGCAUGAAAUAUCUUUUCUGACUCCUCCUGCAUCUGACUUUUCCUUUUUGAUGGCUCUGAAACCACAUCUGUUUGACAAGGCUAAGCUGCUUGAUGCAUAUCUUACUCCCCUAACCAACAGAAGCGCAGAAAAUGGGUGCUUCAGUAGAGAGUCAGUAGGCAGUGUCAGAUGAAAGACACACUUCUUCCUGCAAUUCUAGCCAACUGCGCUUGCUGAAAGAAAAAUACAGCUCAAGAGAAGUGUAUGUGAUAUUUCUUCCUCCAUCCAGCACUCAGCUGCAGUUCCCUGUGCACCUUAAGGCAGUGAUCAUUUGCCAGAGCGUACACAGAUGGGAAAAAAUACCACUGGAAAUAGCUGGAGCCGUGAUAUUUAUCUUAAGACAGAGAGGAGAUCUACUAGAGGCCCGAUGCAGGCUUCUCUCUCUCUCUCCAUCCAGGCAGGCAGGUGGGCUUUGCCUGGACACAUCCUCCAGCCACGCACUGCACACCCAGCAGGCAUGCCCGGAGCUCAGCCAGGAGAACCCAUGCGAUGGUGGUGUGUGAGAUGCCAGAUUCCUACCAGGUCAGAGACAGGUCAGGAGUGAGAAAAUGCAGAAGAAAUGCAGCCCAACUCAUUCCACAGGCCCACUGUCACGCUGCUGUUGAGUCUGUGUGUGUGUGUUGCAAUUACAGUGCAUGGCCCACCAAGUGUAUCUGAAGAGCCGGCUUGGUCCCUGGUAAAGGAAUGUUCCCAGACGUGCUGCAGAGACUUUGCCUGUUGUGUGAUAUGUACAGCAUUUCUUUCCCUUUGUUCCAGAAAGGAGCAUUUGGCUUAUGGUUACUUGGACGCACUGCAAAAAAAUAAAGCAUUGCAUUAUGAGAAAGGGAGCCA